rnacentral:piRNA from 1 species
UGCUGGAAUUCUUGGUUCUCGGUUGACAGG